CAACACUCAAGCUCUGCUUGGUAUUGGAUCACACCGGCAACGGUCGAUCUUAAAAUCAGUGGCGGUGCCCUCUGGCUCUAAGCGUAGUAAUUUCUCUCGCUACAGUGUCCAGGCGGUGUCCUGCCAGCAACCCCCAAUUUUCUA
rnacentral:misc_RNA from 1 species